AAGGGAGACCUAAUUCCGGUAGGAGACGAAAAAAAAGUAGUCCCUACCAAGAAUCAAUCCCAAAAGGUCGGAACGAGGUAUGAGGCUUUCAAACUAGGUUCUGGGUUCAUAAAAGACCUGAAUCAGGAACAAGGGCUAUUAGCUCAGGUGGUUAGAGCGCACCCCUGAUAAGGGUGAGGUCCCUGGUUCGAGUCCAGGAUGGCCCACCUGCACAGGUGGCAAAAACAAGAGAAGCGAGGAAUCAGCACCUUAUCUUGUAUACAUAUAUAAGAGAGAAUGCUGGCUCUGAGUACAGAGUCCAGAGGAACCUUGAAAACUGCAUAGAGCUAGGUGAAAAAGCCAAAAAAGAAGACCGCAA
rnacentral:tRNA from 2 species